rnacentral:rRNA from 1 species
CCUACGUGAGGCAGCAGUAGGGAAUCUUCCACAAUGGGCGAAAGCCUGAUGGAGCAACGCCGCGUGGGUGAAGAAGGUCUUCGGAUCGUAAAACCCUGUUGUUAGAGAAGAAAGUGCGUGAGAGUAACUGUUCACGUUUCGACGGUAUCUAACCAGAAAGCCACGGCUAACUACGUGCCAGCAGCAGCGGUAAUACGUAGGUGGCAAGCGUUAUCCGGAUUUAUUGGGCGUAAAGGGAACGCAGGCGGUCUUUUAAGUCUGAUGUGAAAGCCUUCGGCUUAACCGGAGUAGUGCAUUGGAAACUGGGAGACUUGAGUGCAGAAGAGGAGAGUGGAACUCCAUGUGUAGCGGUGAAAUGCGUAGAUAUAUGGAAGAACACCAGUGGCGAAAGCGGCUCUCUGGUCUGUAACUGACGCUGAGGUUCGAAAGCGUGGGUAGCAAACAGGAUUAGAUACCCUUGUAGUC